CUGUACGUACAUGAUCUCUACACUCCUCACUGAAUUCAGAGAUCUGAAAUGCUCGAAUUAGAUAAGCUUGGUUUUAGUUUAUGGCUAUCUUCCAAACCCAGUAAGAGAUGGGGCGAGCUCACUCUUUGUUUGGGAAAAGUUGUUCCCUACAAACUCUACGAGGAGGAAAUUAGUAGUUUGGUAUUAAAGGAACUGUUACUGUAAAUUUGACAAGAGUUUUACGGAAUUGGAGUAUUUGCUUCUGGGUUUGGUUUCAGCGGUUCCUUCUUUCUUGAUAUCAAUGCUUCUUAUAGGAAAGGUGAAUACUUCUCUGUUAUCUUUAGUGUUCCUUGCAAUGGCGCGUCAGUAAUGUGGUUUUAAGUCAGUCCAAAUGAUGAUUCAGAAUAUUAUAUAAGUUAAACUGUUAAUUUUUGGAGAAUUUUCCCGUAUCCAAUGGUGAUUUCUUAUUGAACUAGGCUUCAAUUUCAAAUAUGUUCAUUGACUGAUAUUUCUAUUGACUGAUACCUUUUUCAUGCUAUAUUGUAAUUCUUCAUCUCUGUCUUAUAUAAAGAACUUUGAUUUCAAUGAAUUUCCAGACACUUUACUACUUUAUAGAUGAUUACACUCUGACAUUUCAGUUACAAACCACACAAUAAGAUUAGCAAAAUGGGUUUGCUGAAUUGAGUGCUUUGUCUUAUUUUCUUGAUGAGAUUACAUUCAUGGUCAGAAUUGAUGGGAAACCUGGUGAUGUGUGGGACUUACCCCGAGUGGCUGUUGAUGGUCUGGGUGCUGCAAUGCUGGUCACAAUAUUACUUGAUUUGUGGCAAAUCUUUUUGGGACCCAUUGUCCCACUUCCAGAAACCAAGCAAUGUCUCCAACCAGGACUUCCAUGGUUUCCAGAAGACACCAAUCAAACCUGAAGUUUCAUAUGAAGACCUCACUUAAGAUUAACAUUUCCUCCUCUAUACUACUACAGGUUAUGAUUCAUUAGUGUUUUUCUAUUUUCAUA